AUACGUAGGGGGCGAGCGUUGUCCGGAAUGAUUGGGCGUAAAGGGCGCGUAGGCGGCCCGGUAAGUCUGGAGUGAAAGUCCUGUUUUUGAGAUGGGAAUUGCUUUGGAUACUGUCGGGCUUGAGUGCAGGAGAGGUAAGUGGAAUUCCCAGUGUAGCGGUGAAAUGCGUAGAGAUUGGGAGGAACACCAGUGGCGAAGGCGACUUACUGGACUGUAACUGACGCUGAGGCGCGAAAGUGUGGGGAGCAAACAGGAUUAGAUACCCUGGUAGUCCACACUGUAAACGAUGAAUGCUAGGUGUAGGGGGUAUCGAUCCCUUCUGUGCCGCAGUCAACACAAUAAGCAUUCCGCCUGGGGAGUACGGCCGCAAGGUUUAAACUCAAAUGAAUUGACGGGG
rnacentral:rRNA from 1 species